GGACCCGCACAAGCGGUGGAGUAUGUGGUUUAAUUCGAUGCAACGCGAAGAACCUUACCAGGGUUUGACAUCCUGCGAAUUUCUGGGAAACCGGAAAGUGCCUUCGGGAGCGCAGUGACAGGUGGUGCAUGGCUGUCGUCAGCUCGUGUCGUGAGAUGUUGGUUAAGUCCCGCAACGAUGCGCAACCCACGUUCUUUAGGUUGCCAGCAUUUAGUUGGGCACUCUAGAGAGACUGCCGGUGAUAAACCGGAGGAAGGUGUGGAUGACGUCAAGUCAUCAUGCCCCUUACAUCCUGGGCUACACACGUGCUACAAUGGUAGAUACAGAGGGCAGCUACCCCGCGAGGGGAUG
rnacentral:rRNA from 1 species